GUCUUGUUGCAUGUAGAAGUGAUCGCAAAAGGCGUUUCUUUGGCACAAGAGAGCAUUGGAGAAAUGAUAAAGAAUCAAAAAUUAUGUUCCGCACAUACAAAGGACGGGUACAUAUUUAGAUUAAUAUAUAAUUUGAGGCUUUUUUUUUUAAUAACUAUGUGAUCAACAGAUAAAUCAUAUAUAACUGAAUUAAUAAAAUUUGUAAUAAAAAAUUAAAUGUAUGUGAUAAAUCUCUUUUUGUUUUUAGGAUGAUGUGUUAGUUCCAGAUAUAAUAAUUGCUAAAUAUGGUACCGAGCUGAAACAUGAAAUUGUCCUAAUUGAUCUCUGUGACAAUUGUAUCAAGCUUAAAUUAAAAUAUCAAAAAAAAAA